rnacentral:rRNA from 1 species
CCUACGGGAGGCAGCAGUAGGGAAUCUUCCACAAUGGGCGAAAGCCUGAUGGAGCAACGCCGCGUGGGUGAAGAAGGCCUUCGGAUCGUAAAACCCUGUUGUUAGAGAAGAAAGUGCGUGAGAGUAACUGUUCACGUUUCGACGGUAUCUAACCAGAAAGCCACGGCUAACUACGUGCCAGCAGCCGCGGUAAUACGUAGGUGGCAAGCGUUAUCCGGAUUUAUUGGGCGUAAAGGGAACGCGGGCGGUCUUUUAAGUCUGAUGUGAAAUCCCUCGGCUUAACCGGGGUAGUGCAUUGGAAACUGGGAGACUUGAGUGCAGAAGAGGGGAGUGGAACUCCAGGUGUAGCGGUGAAAUGCGUAGAUAUAUGGAAGAACACCAGUGGCGAAGGCGGCUCUCUGGUCUGUAACUGACGCUGAGGUGCGAAAGCGUGGGUAGCAAACAGGAUUAGAUACCCGAGUAGUC